rnacentral:rRNA from 1 species
GUGGGGAAUCUUGCGCAAUGGGCGAAAGCCUGACGCAGCCAUGCCGCGUGAAUGAUGAAGGUCUUAGGAUUGUAAAAUUCUUUCACCGGGGACGAUAAUGACGGUACCCGGAGAAGAAGCCCCGGCUAACUUCGUGCCAGCAGCCGCGGUAAUACGGAGGGGGCUAGCGUUGCUCGGAAUUACUGGGCGUAAAGGGAGCGUAGGCGGAUAGUUUAGUCAGAGGUGAAAGCCCAGGGCUCAACCUUGGAAUUGCCUUUGAUACUGGCUAUCUUGAGUAUGGAAGAGGUAUGUGGAACUCCGAGUGUAGAGGUGAAAUUCGUAGAUAUUCGGAAGAACACCAGUGGCGAAGGCGACAUACUGGUCCAUUACUGACGCUGAGGCUCGAAAGCGUGGGGAGCAAACAGGAUUAGAAACCCCAGUAGUCC